rnacentral:lncRNA from 1 species
CUUACAUAUACAAGUCACCACCCCCACCAUCACCAACUUAUGUGUACAAGUCACCACCUCCACCAUCACCUAUAUACAAACCCCCAUAUUACUACAACUCACCUCCUCCUCCAACACCAGUUUACAAGUACAAUUCACCACCUCCACCAUCACCAACUUACGUGUACAAGUCACCACCUCCACCAUCACCUGCAUACAAACCCCCAUACUACUAUAACUCACCUCCUCCUCCAACACCGGUUUACAAGUACAACUCACCACCUCCACCGUCACCAACAUACGUGUAUAAAUCACCACCACCACCAUCACCUAUAUACAAACCCCCGUACUACUACAAUUCACCUCCUCCUCCAACACCAGUUUACAAGUACAAUUCACCACCUCCACCAUCACCAACUUAUGUGUACAAGUCACCACCCCCACCAUCACCGGUAUACAAACCCCCGUACUACUACAACUCACCUCCUCCCCCAACACCAGUUUACAAAUACAACUCACCUCCUCCACCGUCACCAACAUACGUGUACAAGUCACCACCCCCACAUCACCGGUAUACAAACCCCCGUACUACUACAACUCACCUCCUCCCCCAACACCAGUUUACAAAUACAACUCACCUCCUCCACCGUCACCAACAUACGUGUACAAGUCACCACCCCCACCAUCACCUGUGUACAAACCCCCAUACUACUACAACUCACCUCCUCCUCCAACCCCAGUUUACAAGUACAAUUCACCACCCCCACCGUCACCAACAUAUGUCUACAAGUCUCCACCCCCGCCAUCACCUGCGUACAAACCCCCAUACUAUUACAACUCACCUCCUCCACCAACGCCUGUUUAUAAGUACAAUUCUCCACCUCCACCGUCACCAACUUAUGUGUACAAGUCACCACCCCCACCAUCACCUGUAUACAAACCCCCAUACUACUAUAACUCGCCUCCUCCUCCAACACCAGUUUACAAAUACAGUUCACCUCCUCCUCCAACACCGGUUUAUAAGUACAAUUCACCUCCUCCACCAUCACCAACUUACGUGUACAAGUCACCACCCCCACCAUCACCGGUAUACAAACCCCCAUACUACUACAAUUCACCUCCUCCACCAUCACCAACUUACAAGUACAAUUCACCACCUCCGCCAUCACCAACUUAUGUGUAUAAGUCACCACCUCCACCAUCACCAACUUAUGUGUAUAAGUCACCACCUCCACCAUCACCUGUGUACAAACCCCCGUACUACUACAACUCACCUCCUCCUCCAACACCAGUUUACAAGUACAAUUCACCUCCUCCACCAACACCAGUUUACAAGUACAAUUCACCUCCUCCACCAACACCUAUAUACAAACCUCCAUACUACUACAAUUCACCUCCUCCUCCAACCCCAGUUUACAAGUACAACUCACCUCCUCCUCCAACACCGGUUUACAAAUACAACUCCCCUCCUCCUCCAACACCGGUUUACAAGUACAACUCCCCUCCUCCUCCUCCAAAACACCGGUUUAUCAAGACAACUCACUCCUCCUCCAACACCGGUUUACAAAUACAAUCACCCCUCCUCACCAUCAUCCGUGAUUUACAAGACAACUCACCUCCUCCUCCAUCACCUGUUACAAGUACAACUCACCCCUCCUCCUACACCGGUUUACAAGACAACACCCUCCCCUCCUCCUCUCAACCACCGUUACAAAUACAAACUCCCCUCCUCCUCCAUCACCGGUUUACAAGUACAACUCCCCUCCUCCUCCAUCACCGGUUUACAAGUACAACUCCCCCCCUCCUCCAACACCGGUUUACAAGUACAACUCCCCUCCUCCUCCAACACCGGUUUACAAGUACAACUCCCCACCUCCUCCAACACCGGUUUACAAGUACAAGUCACCACCUCCACCGUCACCAACUUACGAGUACAAAUCUCCUCCUCCUCCAACAC